rnacentral:rRNA from 1 species
UGGGGAAUAUUGCACAAAGGGGGAAACCCUGAUGCAGCGACGCCGCGUGAACGAAGAAGGUAUUCGUAUCGUAAAGUUCUGUCCUAUGGGAAGAUAAUGACAGUACCAUAGAAGAAAGCUCCGGCUAAAUACGUGCCAGCAGCCGCGGUAAUACGUAUGGAGCGAGCGUUGUCCGGAAUUAUUGGGCGUAAAGGGUACGCAGGCGGUUUAAUAAGUCGAAUGUUAAAGAUCGGGGCUCAACCCCGUAAAGCAUUGGAAACUGAUAAACUUGAGUAGUGGAGAGGAAAGUGGAAUUCCUAGUGUAGUGGUGAAAUACGUAGAUAUUAGGAGGAAUACCAGUAGCGAAGGCGACUUUCUGGACACAAACUGACGCUGAGGUACGAAAGCGUGGGGAGCAAACAGG